rnacentral:ncRNA from 2 species
GUAAUACUUUAGGGGUGUCUGCGAAAGCAGGCUGAGAAUUACCCUUUGAACCUGAUCUAGUUCAUACUAGCGUAGGGAAAAGUAGAUGACUGACC